CCUACGGGAGGCAGCAGUGGGGAAUCUUGGACAAUGGGGGAAACCCUGAUCCAGCGAUGCCGCGUGAGUGAUGAAGGCCUUCGGGUUGUAAAACUCUUUCGACGGGGACGCGGUACCCGUAGAAGAAGCUCCGGCUAACUUCGUGCCAGCAGCCGCGGUAAUACGAAGGGGGCUAGCGUUGUUCGGAAUUACUGGGCGUAAAGCGUGCGCAGGCGGCCAUUCAAGUCAGGGGUGAAAGCCCAGAGCUCAACUCUGGAACUGCCCUUGAAACUGUAUGGCUUGAGUAUGAGAGAGGUGAGUGGAAUUCCCAGUGUAGAGGUGAAAUUCGUAGAUAUUGGGAAGAACACCGGUGGCGAAGGCGGCUCACUGGCUCAUACUGACGCUCAUGCACGACAGCGUGGGGAUCAAACAGGAUUAGAUACCCUUGUAGUC
rnacentral:rRNA from 1 species